rnacentral:rRNA from 1 species
AAAUUUGGGCACGAGCCCUACGAAUUUUUCUUGUGUGCGAAUUAUAAUUUUUAAAAGAGGGUGAAGUUUUUUCAUAAGUUGAUUGGGGGGAUUUUUUAAGUAUAGGUAUCUCAAAAUUAGAAGUAAUAGAACCCAAAAUUUUGGUUUUUUGAAAAAAAUACUCUAGGGAUAACAGCGUUAUAAUUUUUGAUAGAACCUAUAGACAAAAUAGUUUGCGACCUCGAUGUUGGAUUAGGAUACUUUUUUAAUGAAGAUGUUAAAAAAAGAAGUUUGUUCAACUUUUAAAGUCCUACUUGAUCUGAGUUCAGACCGGA